UCUGAACGGCGUGCCUUUGGAUACUGAGU
rnacentral:piRNA from 1 species